GGGAAGGGAUCAUAUAUUGGUUCUAUUUUGCUUAUUCGUUGUCGCUGUUUUUGUAUGUUUUCCAUGAAAGGUAAAAUUUUUCUUUUGAUAAAUUAGGAUGGUACACUUAUGGUUUGACCUAUUUAGCUAUUUAGUUCUUUACACAUAAAAUUUUCAAUAUCCUAGACUUAGUGGGUAAGAAUUUUUUUUUUUUUUUAGGAAUUAUGAAUUUGCUUGACUGCCUACCUUAUAUCACAUGUCAAUUUUUUGCCUUCUCUUCUUAAAAAAAAUAAAAAAAAAGAGAAAAAAAGAAGAAAUGAAUAAAUACUCCUCUAAUACGAAUGUUAAUAGUGAAAAACUGGGGUUGUACAUCGGGCUGAGUAACCGGAAUGUGGUGCUUGGGUUUGUAGAAGCCCAAAUUACCCCGGGCCUCACCAAAUCAAGUCAGGCCCACUAACCUAAAAUCAGACCCAAACCUACAAACCCACCAAGCAGACCCAAAAUAAUCCAUGGCCCAAUAUCCAAAUCUACAAACAAACCCUAGCCCAAAACCCAUAAUAGAAAAAAACAAAAAAAAUUUCAAACCCUAGGUGCGCCGCACCUAGGGUCUUCUAGCCCGGCACCGCCACCAUUUUGUCGCCGCCACCGUUCUGACGCCGCGCCG
rnacentral:lncRNA from 1 species